AUGAAAAAACAGAAUAGUAAUGUAAAAAUCAGCAAAAGAAAAUUGUUCUAUUUUUCUCCAUCUCCAACCAUCAUCAUCACCAUAAACUCUCAUCAAUCUAUACUUUUUUUCUUCUUUAUUUAUCUUCAUCUUCCCAUCACCAUCAUCUUCCAAUAUCACAUUAUAACUCAUGGCUUCCUCCCCGAUUCAAUACAACUUCCGAACCUGCUUCAUCACAAACUACAACACUUAUGUUACUACUCUUAUUCGUAUUCUUAUUCACUAUCACAAGUUUAUUUUUUAUAA